UAGUUAAAUCUCUUAACUUAGAAUUAUGCUGUGUUCUUUUCAUUCAAUUCAUUCAUACGCAUGCAUUCUCGUUUCAUUCCCAAACGUAGUGACUUCGUCUUCUUCGUCUUCGUCCCACAAAUCCCAAAUCGUGUGACUUCGAAAUCCCAAAUCAUGGCAUAAAUCUCUUUGAAAUCCCUAAAUCCCAAAUCCCUAAAUCCGGAUUCAAACUCGUUUUCACCCAACUCGUUCCAGAUUCAAACUCGUUUUCACCCAUCUCGUUCCAGAUUCAAACUUCUUCACAACUGUUCGUUCAAUCACACUCAGAUUCAAACUCACGAGUUCCAGAUUCUUGGUUCCUUCUUCAUUCAGAUUCAAUCUUCUUCACAACUCGUUCUUUCAAUCUAAGAUUCAGAUUCAACCUCGUUUGUUCAAGGUAUUUAAAACUUUCCGACGACCGCAAAAGUUGAGACAGAGCUAAUAUGAAGAAUUAUAUUUUGGAGGAAAGAAUCGUGUUGUUUGACAUAGAUCAAAUCUCUAACUUUACACAAAGAGAGGAAUUUGAUGAAGAGAAAGAACCUGAUGGGAUGGUUCUCUCAGGAUGCAGUCAACCGGUGUCAGCAGCAGAGAUGAAAUCCAGAGAGGAAUUUGAUGAAGAGAAAUAAUGCAGACACCAAAAGCAAGGUGUCAUUGUCAGGUUCAAUCUGUACUGCUGUUACUUGGCGGCCGUGAAAUACCUCCAACAGUACCUUCCAUGCCACUGACAAAUAUCUGGCUCAUGGAGUAUUCUACUAGGGAUUUAUCGGUACUCCUCAAAAAUUCAGUGUCCCUCAAAGAUUAGCUUCAUUGAUUAGAAGUAGCAUUAAGGUAUGAUGCUUACUAUCAUUAUUUCUUUGAUUGAGCUUACAUAGAGUAUUUGUUUUGUGUUGAAAUCAUAAGUUCACUGUUUUAAAUCAUAUUUGUAAAUGGUUUUGUUUACCGAUACCAAUGAAAGGGUGGAAAACAAGACAUAGUGGCGAGUUCCUUGAUAAGUCUGCAAUAAUAUAUAUUUGGUUUUUAAAGAAGCCUCAAAUAGUGUUCAAAUUAUUUCAAAAUCCAUGAUCCAUUACAGUUGUUUUCGGUUCAUAUUUCUCAAGGACAUGGAUCUAUAACUGAUAUAUUGCAUCUACAAAGUCCGUUAUGCCAUAAUGUACAAUAUAAGUUAGGCAAAUUUAACAUGGUUAUGUCGUGUUCCUUUUAAUUGCUAACAAGGAGAUAACAG